AGUCAAAGCCCGUUAAUGGGUGAUGGCGUGCCUUUUGUAGAAUGAACCGGCGAGUUACGAUUGCAUGCGAGGUUAAGUUGAAGAGACGGAGCCGCAGCGAAAGCGAGUCUGAAUAGGGCGUUUGAGUAUGUAGUCGUAGACCCGAAACCAUGUGAUCUACCCAUGUCCAGGUUGAAGGUGCGGUAAAACGCACUGGAGGACCGAACCCACGUACGUUGAAAAGUGCGGGGAUGAGGUGUGGGUAGCGGAGAAAUUCCAAACGAACUUGGAGAUAGCUGGUUCUCUCCGAAAUAGCUUUAGGGCUAGCCUCGGAAUUGAGAAUGAUGGAGGUAGAGCACUGUUUGGACUAGGGGCCCAUCUCGGGUUACCGAAUUCAGAUAAACUCCGAAUGCCAUUCAUUCAUAUCCGGGAGUCAGACUGUGAGUGAUAAGAUCCAUAGUCGAAAGGGAAACAGCCCAGACCACCAGCUAAGGUCCCAAAAUAUAUGUUAAGUGGAAAAGGAUGUGGGGUUGCACAGACAACUAGGAUGUUGGCUUAGAAGCAGCCACCAUUUAAAGAGUGCGUAAUAGCUCACUAGUCGAGUGACCCUGCGCCGAAAAUGUACCGGGGCUAAACAUAUUACCGAAGCUGUGGAGUACACCUUUAGGUGUAUUGGUAGGAGAGCGUUCUAAGGGCGUUGAAGGUAGAUCGUGAGGACUGCUGGAGCGCUUAGAAGUGAGAAUGCCGGUAUGAGUAGCGAAAGACAGGUGAGAAUCCUGUCCACCGAAUGACUAAGGUUUCCUGGGGAAGGCUCGUCCGCCCAGGGUUAGUCGGGACCUAAGCCGAGGCCGACAGGCGUAGGCGAUGGACAACAGGUUGAUAUUCCUGUACUCGUUGUUUUUGUUUGAGCAAUGGAGGGACGCAGGAGGCUAAGGAAUGCAGACGAUUGGAAAUGUCUGUCUAAGCAGUAAGUCUUGAUAGGAGUCAAAUGCUUCUAUCUGUACGGACAAGCUGUGAUGGGGAGGGAAAUAAUAGUACCGAAGUUCCUGAUGUCACACUGCCGAGAAAAGCUUCUAGUGAGAAAACAACGACCCGUACCGCAAACCGACACAGGUAGUCGAGGAGAGAAUCCUAAGGUGAGCGAGAGAACUCUCGUUAAGGAACUCGGCAAAAUGACCCCGUAACUUCGGGAGAAGGGGUGCUGAUCUAAGAUCAGCCGCAGUGAAUAGGCCCAAGCGACUGUUUAUCAAAAACACAGGUCUCUGCAAAAUCGUAAGAUGAAGUAUAGGGGCUGACGCCUGCCCGGUGCUGGAAGGUUAAGAGGAGUGCUUAGCGUAUGCGAAGGUACGAAUUGAAGCCCCAGUAAACGGCGGCCGUAACUAUAACGGUCCUAAGGUAGCGAAAUUCCUUGUCGGGUAAGUUCCGACCCGCACGAAAGGCGUAACGAUUUGGGCACUGUCUCAACGAGAGACUCGGUGAAAUUUUAGUACCUGUGAAGAUGCAGGUUACCCGCGACAGGACGGAAAG
rnacentral:rRNA from 1 species